rnacentral:rRNA from 1 species
AUAUGCCGAGAGGUGAAACGAAUUUUGCCUGGGGAUGAGCUCGCGUCUGAUUAGCUUGUUGGUGGGGUAAAAGCCUACCAAGGCUUCGAUCAGUAGCUGGUCUGAGAGGACGAUCAGCCACACUGGGACUGAGACACGGCCCAGACUCCUACGGGAGGCAGCAGUGGGGAAUUUUCCGCAAUGGGCGCAAGCCUGACGGAGCAACGCCGCGUGAGGGAUGAAGGCCUUUGGGCUGUAAACCUCUUUUCUCAAGGAAGAAGACCUGACGGUACUUGAGGAAUAAGCCACGGCUAAUUCCGUGCCAGCAGCCGCGGUAAUACGGGAGUGGCAAGCGUUAUCCGGAAUUAUUGGGCGUAAAGCGUCCGCAGGCGGCCGUUUAAGUCUGUUGUUAAAUCGUGGAGCUCAACUCCAUCACGGCAAUGGAAACUGUUCGGCUUGAGUAUGGUAGGGGCAGAGGGAAUUUCCGGUGUAGCGGUGAAAUGCGUAGAUAUCGGGAAGAACACCAGUGGCAAAAGCGCUCUGCUGGGCCAUUACUGACGCUCAUGGACGAAAGCCAGGGGAGCGAAAGGGAUUAGAUACCCCUGUAGUCCUGGCCGUAAACGAUGAACACUAGAUGUUGGGGGAAUCGACCCCUCCGGUGUCGUAGCUAACGCGUUAAGUGUUCCGCCUGGGGAGUACGCACGCAAGUGUGUAACUCAAAGGAAUUGACGGGGGCCCGCACAAGCGGUGGAGUAUGUGGUUUAAUUCGAUGCAACGCGAAGAACCUUACCAAGGCUUGACAUCCUGCGAAUCUCCAAGAAAUUGGAGAGUGCCUUCGGGAACGCAGUGACAGGUGGUGCAUGGCUGUCGUCAGCUCGUGUCGUGAGAUGUUGGGUUAAGUCCCGCAACGAGCGCAACCCACGUUUUUAGUUGCCAGCAUUCAGUUGGGCACUCUAGAAAGACUGCCGGUGACAAACCGGAGGAAGGUGUGGACGACGUCAAGUCAUCAUGCCCCUUACGCCUUGGGCUACACACGUACUACAAUGCUGCGGACAAAGAGU